CCUACGGGAGGCAGCAGUCGGGAAUAUUGCGCAAUGGAGGAAACUCUGACGCAGCGACGCCGCGUGCAGGAAGAAGGUAUUCGGAUUGUAAACCGCCUUAGACAGGGAAGAAAAAAGACAGUACUUGUAGAAUAAGCUCCGGCUAACUACGUGCCAGCAGCCGCGGUAAUACGCAGGGAGCAAGCGUUAUCCGGAUUUAUUGGGGGUAAAGGGUGCGUAGACGGGGAAGCAAGUUAGUUGUGAAAUCCCUCGGCUUAACUGAGGAACUGCAACUAAAACUACUUCCCUUGAGUACUGGAGAGGAAAGUGGAAUGCCUAGUGUAGCGGUGAAAUGCGUAGAUAUUAGGAAGAACACCAGUGGCGAAGGCAGCUUGCUGAACAGUAACUGACGUUGAGGCACGAAAGUGUGGGGAGCAAACAGGAUUAGAUACCCUUGUAGUC
rnacentral:rRNA from 1 species